UUAUGGCUAAGUGGGAAAGGAUGUAGGAAGCCAAGACAACCAGGAGGUUGGCUUAGAAGCAGCCACCCUUUAAAGAAAGCGUAACAGCUCACUGGUCUAGUUAAGCCGUCCCGCGCCGAAGAUGUACCGGGGCUCAAGCCAUACACCGAAGCUGCGGGUGUGCCUCUCUUACGGGAGAGGUACGCAGUAGCGGAGCGUUCCGUAAGCCUGCGAAGGGGUUCUCGUGAGAGGCCCUGGAGGUAUCGGAAGUGAGAAUGCUGACAUGAGUAGCGACAAAGAGUGUGAGAAACACUCUCGCCGAAAGUCCAAGGGUUCCUGCGCAAGGCUAAUCCGCGCAGGGUGAGUCGGCCCCUAAGGCGAGGGCGAAAGCCGUAGUCGAUGGGAACAGGGUUAAUAUUCCCUGACCUGUGGGUGGUGACGAAUGGUGUAAGUUGUUCGGGCUUAUUGGAUUGUCCGGGCGGCGAAACUGU
rnacentral:rRNA from 1 species